rnacentral:rRNA from 1 species
GAGUUUGAUCUUGGCUCAGAUUGAACGCUGGCGGCAUGCCUUACACAUGCAAGUCGAACGGCAGCACGGGAGCUUGCUCCUGGUGGCGAGUGGCGAACGGGUGAGUAAUGCAUCGGAACGUAUCCUGGAGUGGGGGAUAACGUAGCGAAAGUUACGCUAAUACCGCAUAUUCUGUGAGCAGGAAAGCGGGGGACCUUCGGGCCUCGCGCUCUUGGAGCGGCCGAUGUCGGAUUAGCUAGUUGGUGAGGUAAAGGCUCACCAAGGCGACGAUCCGUAGCAGGUCUGAGAGGAUGAUCUGCCACACUGGAACUGAGACACGGUCCAGACUCCUACGGGAGGCAGCAGUGGGAAUUUUGGACAAUGGGGCAACCCUGAUCCAGCCAUGCCGCGUGAGGGAAGAAGGCCUCGGUU